AUAUUCAGUGCACUCCAAGAUAAGCCAUAGAGCUUUCUGCAGCUUUUGAUAUACAAAAAUCAUAGCAAAAUAGAAGCAAGCAUGUCUUCGACAAGAUCAACACUUCGAUGACUGAUCCUUAACUUUAUAAUUUGACUAAUAUCUGGAAUGUUCUGCGGAGUGCGAGAGACAAAUUAAGAACUACAUUUCUUGCUCGGGGACUGUUCUCACCGAGGUCUCAGUGAGCUUCCCAACUUUGACAGUGUACCUAUGGAUAAAUUGAACUUGUCGGGCAACAGGUUCAAGGAGUUUCACCGACAGUACUUUAAUAUAACGACAUUUUCGUACCUGGAUCUGUUCGACAUCCAUAUGAAUAAACUGGACGCGCAUGCGCUUAACCGUUUCGCCUGACUAGAGACUUUGCUCUUGUCCAAUAACUCGAUAACCAGCUGUAUCUGUCCAGCAGACGGCUAUCGAGUUGUUGGCCAAGAGCAAAGUCUCUAGUGAGUUGAAACCUUUAAGCGCAUUCACGUCCAGUUUAUCUAUAUAGUUGUCGGAUAGAUCCAGGUACGAAAGUGUCGUUAAAUUCGAGUACUGUCGGGGAAACUCCUUGAAGCUGUUGCCCGACAAGUUCAAUUAUUAAUAGGUACACUGUCAAAGUUGGGAAAUUCACUGAGACCUCGAUUUGGAUAUUUCAUCGGACCACAUAAGAAAUGUCAAAUAUGUUAAAUUUUUAAAUAUCAAUUUUUAAGCAAUGUUGCAUAAAAAAAUCAAUUUAAGAAAAAAGUGUUACAUGCGAUACUUUCACAAAAAGGAAUCGAUUUUAAUUAAUAAUAGAGAAAUUGAACUAAAGAAUCUGUUGUGUUAACCUGUUAAGUAGGUUUCUAAGAUAUGUUGGAUAUGUUUAAGCCAAGUUGUCAUUAUUCUUUAUUAAAUAAAAUGAAUGCAAAUAA